UAAUUUGAAGUUUAGUUUUUUAUUAAAUAAGUUAUUUUUAAAAGAAGUUAUUUGUUUGAGUAUUAAGUUUGAAAAAAUAUUUUUAAUUAUAGUUUAGUAGUACUGUGAGUGAAUAAUUGAAAUAUUUAAAAGAAUAUUUUAUUUGUAGUACCUUUUGUAUCAGGGUUUAUUAAAAAUAAGUUUUUUUUAAUGCUUUCUCGAAUUUAUGAGAGCUAAGGAUAUAUAUAUAUUAAUGUGGAAUAAUUAUUUCAAAUAUUUUCUUUGUAAUUAAACGUUAGUCGAACUUAAAUAUAUCUAGUUUUUUAAGAAAUUAAUUUAAUUAAGUCUAUUUGAUGGAUUGUUUUUAUAGAAAAUUGAUCUUGAAAUUGGGUAAUAUUCAAGGGGAUAAGCUUUUGAAUAAAUUUCUAUAAUAAUUAAUUUAUUGAAAAUUUAAUAGGAAUAGAAGUUUUCAUUUUUUAUAGUGUUUUAUAUCAAGAUUUUUGAAAAGGUAAUUUGUUUUUUUUUAGGUUGUUUAUUAAAAUAUUAAAUUUAAUUAAGGAUUUUGAGAAAUAAUGAUAAUAUAAGUAUAAUACAUUGUUAUAAGAUUGAUGAAGGAAAGAUUUGGUAAAGGAAUUCGGCAAAAAAAUUUUCUGCCUGUUUAUUAAAAACAUGUCUUUUUGGGAAUAAUUUAAGGUCGGGCCUGCCCUAUGAUAAAUUAAAUGGCCGCGGUACUUUGACCGUGCAAAGGUAGCAUAAUCAUUAGUUUUUUAAUUGAAAGCUGGAAUGAACGGUUUGACAAGAAAAUUACUGUCUCUAUUGAAUGGUCUAGAAUUUUAUAUUUUAGUUAGAAAGCUUAAAUAAUUUUAAGGGACGAGAAGACCCUAUAGAAUUUUAUAAAUUUUUUUAGAUUAUGUUUUUAGUUUAUUUUAUUAGGUUUAGGAAAAUUUAUUUUGUUGGGGUGAUGGUAAAAUUUAGAAAACUUUUUUUUCUUUUAUUCACUGAUUUGUGUAUAUUUGAUCUGCUGGUUGUGAUUAUAAGAUUAAAUUACCUUAGGGAUAACAGCGUAAUUAGGUUGGAGAGUUCAUAUCGAUAAACUAGUUUGCGACCUCGAUGUUGGAUUAAAAUUAAUUUUUGGCGUAGAAGCUAAAAAAUUAAGUCUGUUCGACUUUUAAAAUUUUACAUGAUCUGAGUUUAAACCGGCGUGAGCCAGGUUGGUUUCUAUCUUUAGAAAAUUUUAAUGUUUUAGUACGAAAGGACCAUUCAUUAAUUUAAUAAGUUGGGUUUUGAAUAUUAAUAUU
rnacentral:rRNA from 1 species